UACAGAGAUGGCGAGCGUUACUCGGAUUUAUUGGGUGUAAAGGGCAGGUAGGUGUUCUGCCAAGUUAGAAGUGAAAUCCUGCAGCUCAACUGCAGAACUGCUUCUAAAACUGGCAGAAUUGAGGAUAGAAGAGGAGAGUGGAAUUCCCGGUGUAAGGGUGAAAUCUGUAGAUAUCGGGAGGAACACCAGUGGCGAAAGCGACUCUCUGGUCUAUCCCUGACGCUGAUCUGCGAAGGCUAGGGGAGCAAACAGG
rnacentral:rRNA from 1 species